AUGGGAAGAGAAGAAUUGUCAGGCAGUUUGCAUUUGAGUCUUUUUGAGAUUCGAAUCCUUUCUGCCAGCCCAGACUGUCAGAAUGUCCCUGCAAAGUCUCCUCAUCUAUGACACUGCAGUGCCAACCUGGUUCCGACUGACACUGUGAGGAGGGAAGGAACACCAAACCACCCUCACCAGCAGAGACGGAGAGGCAAGCGCCCCACCUUUGUCUUUCAAAAUUUCAUGGUGUGGUUCUCAGUGAGGACAAAUUCAAUGGCUAUGCUUGAAGAAUUCUAAUUAAGAAACAAGGUAAUUUCAAAGCUCAGUUGCUUCCCUGUUGACCUUUCCACAUCUUCUGGAACUCCACUGAGUAGAUUUCCCAGGAGCCAGGAAAUCCAAGACAACGCUGACUCAGUGUACCUGCCAUCUCUCCUCUGGCAUGGUCCCUCUCUGUUUGCUCAGGCUGCAGAUUUCUUUCCUUCCCCUCUUCUUCAUUCAUUCAAGAACUAUUUAUUGACUGUGUGUUGGAUUGUGCUCAAUGCUGAAGAAACAACAGUGAACAACAUAGGCUUGGUCACUGCCCCCCAGAGCCUACAGUCUCCGUAGAGGCAACAAAACAAGCAAUUACAAUGCAAUAUAGGGGGUGCCAUAAGGAAUCAAUAUAGGAGGGGAACACAGCCCAAAGGGCUGGGAGACUUCCUGGAGGAAAUGACAUAAGCAGACACCUAAAGGAUGAAAGGGAAUUGGCUAGUGACGAGGUGGAAUAAGUUCCCUGCAGACGGUACAGCGUAUGUCAAGGCCCAUAUGCAAAAGAAUGUGAAGGAAAUUCAGUAUGUCUGGAAUACAGGACACUUGUGAGGGAGUGGUGGUGGUGGUGGUGACAUUGAAGCUAGACAGGUGGGCAGGGUCAAAAAGUCAUUCAGGGCCUUAUAAACCUUGCUAAGUUAAGAUUUCAUCCUUGGAAAAAUGGGGAGCCAUUCCAGGAACUUCUAUUUGAAGCACAUGUAUGUUUUCUAUACUCACCUUGUUAUCAUGGGUAAAGAAAGAGAAGGACAUUUAAUUCCUUUCCUUGACAAAUACCAUAUUGUCCUCUUCAUCUCAUUAUGCUUCUGUGAGUUUGUGAGUGUGUGCUGGUAGAAAAGAAUUUCCCAUCUGGAAAAUUGGAGUUCUCUCUGCGCCAAAAUAGUCUUCCAAAGACUCC